GCGGGCGUGGCGGAAUUGGCAGACGCGCCAGAUUUAGGUUCUGGUGUCUACGACGUGAAGGUUCAAGUCCUUUCGCCCGCACCA
rnacentral:tRNA from 1 species